rnacentral:rRNA from 1 species
UACCAGCACCCCGAGUGGUCGGGACGUUUUAUUGGGCCUAAAGCAUCCGUAGCCGGUUCUACGAGUCUUCCGUUAAAUCCAGCUGCUUAACAGGUGGGCUGCGGAAGAUACUAUAGAGCUAGGAGGCGGGAGAGGCAAGCGGUACUCGAUGGGUAGGGGUAAAAUCCGUUGAUCCAUUGAAGACCACCAGUGGCGAAGGCGGCUUGCCAGAACGCGCUCGACGGUGAGGGAUGAAAGCUGGGGGGAGCAAACCGG